rnacentral:rRNA from 1 species
GACGAACGCUGGCGGCGUGCUUAACACAUGCAAGUCGAACGAUGAAGCGGGUGCUUGCACUCGUGGAUUAGUGGCGAACGGGCGAGUAACACGUGAGUAACCUGUCCUUUUCUUUGGGAUAACGGCUGGAAACGGCUGCUAAUACUGGAUAUUCAGGCUGCAUCGCAUGGUGUGGUUUGGAAAGGUUUUUUCUGGGAUUGGGUGGGCUCGCGGCCUAUCAGCUUGUUGGUGGGGUGAUGGCUUACCAAGGCUUUGACGGGUAGCCGGCCUGAGAGGGUGGUCGGUCGCACUGGGACUGAGAUACGGCCCAGACUCCUACGGGAGGCAGCAGUGGGGAAUAUUGCACAAUGGACGAAAGUUUGAUGCAGCGACGCCGCGUGGAGGGUGGAGGCCUUCGGGUUGUGAACUCCUUUUUCUCGCGAAAAAGGCACAGUUUUGGCUGUGUUGAUGGUAGUGGGGGAAGAAGCGCCGGCUAACUACGUG